GCGCUCGCUUCUACAGCCUAUGUGCUAAAACUGGGAGGACGCUGAGAAUGUUAGCAUGGCCCCUGCACAAAGAUGACACCCACAUUGGUGAAGCAUUCCAUCACUGU